rnacentral:snoRNA from 1 species
CUGCAAGCCUCCAGCGUGCUUGGGUCUGCAGUGGCCCUGUGCAUUCCUACAGUGCUUGCAAGAAAAAUUUUGAAAUGGUUUGAGGCCUUGCCCUGCUCCAUCCAGAGCAAGGUUAUAGAAAUUUCAGACACUU